rnacentral:rRNA from 1 species
CUAUACAUGCAAGUCGAGCGCGGGAAGCGAACAGAACUCUUCGGAGGGACGUUCGUGGAACGAGCGGCGGACGGGUGAGUAACACGUAGGCAACCUGCCUGUAAGACUGGGAUAACUCGCGGAAACGCGAGCUAAUACCGGAUAAUACUUAACAUCACCUGAUGAUAAGUUAAAAGGCGGCUUUUGCUGUCACUUACAGAUGGGCCUGCGGCGCAUUAGCUAGUUGGUGGGGUAAGGGCUCACCAAGGCGACGAUGCGUAGCCGACCUGAGAGGGUGAUCGGCCACACUGGGACUGAGACACGGCCCAGACUCCUACGGGAGGCAGCAGUAGGGAAUCUUCCGCAAUGGACGAAAGUCUGACGGAGCAACGCCGCGUGAGUGAUGAAGGUUUUCGGAUCGUAAAACUCUGUUGUCGGGGAAGAACAAGUAUGAUAGUAACGGAUCGUACCUUGACGGUACCCGACCAGAAAGCCACGGCUAACUACGUGCCAGCAGCCGCGGUAAUACGUAGGUGGCAAGCGUUGUCCGGAAUUAUUGGGCGUAAAGCGCUCGCAGGCGGUUCUUUAAGUCUGAUGUGAAAUCUUGCAGCUCAACUGCAAACGUGCAUUGGAAACUGGAGGACUUGAGUGCAGAAGAGGAGAGUGGAAUUCCACGUGUAGCGGUGAAAUGCGUAGAGAUGUGGAGGAACACCAGUGGCGAAGGCGACUCUCUGGUCUGUAACUGACGCUGAGGAGCGAAAGCGUGGGGAG